UCGUCUCCAACUGUGGCGAUUCUCGUGCCGUGCUUUGUCGAAACGGUGUCGCUAUUCCUCUCUCCUCUGAUCACAAGGUGAGGUUAAUCAUUUCCUUUAAAUUGAUCUCAUGCUUUUAGUUUUUCUUUGGAGUGAUUAUUUAUGAACCAGCUUACCAAAAAAGAUUAUUUAUGAACCAUGUUAAAGAACAAGUAGAAACGUUGUUUCCACUAAAAGAAUUAGGCGUGCGGAUGUGGGUCAAGGUUUGAGCUUUAGCUUUGUUGAUUGUUGAUAGCAAGGAACUUUUUAUGAAUCGGCGUGUGCCGAGCACAUUUUUAAUUCUUAGGACCUGAUUAUAAUAUUAUUGUUGAUCAUGAUG
rnacentral:lncRNA from 1 species